AUUGAACGCUGGCGGCAGGCCUAACACAUGCAAGUCGAACGAGUGGCGGACGGGUGAGUAAUGUCUGUGAAACUUCCCGAUGGAGGGGGAUAACUCCUGGAAACGGUAGCUAAUACCGCCUACCAUCGGAUGUGCCCAGAUGGGAUUAGCUAGUUGGUGGGGUAAAGGCUCACCAAGCCGACGAUCCCUAGCUGGUCUGCGAGGAUGACCAGCCACACUGGAACUGAGACACGGUCCAGACUCCUACGGGAGGCAGCAGUGGGGAAUAUUGCACAAUGGGCGCAAGCCUGAGGCAGCCAUGCCGCGUGAAUGAAGAAGGCCUUCGGGUUGUAAAGUACUUUCAGCGAGGAGGCGUUAAUCGCAGAAGAAGCACCGGCUAACUCCGUGCCAGCAGCCGCGGUAAUAC
rnacentral:rRNA from 1 species